UACGUAGGGUGCGAGCGUUGUCCGGAAUUACUGGGCGUAAAGAGCUCGUAGGUGGUUUGUCACGUCGUCUGUGAAAUUCAGAGGCUUAACUUCGGGUGUGCAUCUGAAACUGAUGUUCUUGAGUGUCGGAGAGGAAGGUGGAAUUCCUGGUGUAGCAGUGAAAUGCGUAGAGAUUUGGAGGAACACCAGUGGCGAAGGCGGCUUUCUGGUAUGUAACUGACGCUGAGGCGCGAAAGCGUGGGGAGCAAACAGGAUUAGAUA
rnacentral:rRNA from 1 species